rnacentral:snoRNA from 1 species
GUGAUGCAGAGGUUUCCGGAGCGAGCGGAUGAGCGGGGCCGUGUAUCUGA